GUCAUAUGUGUGUCCCAAUACA
rnacentral:siRNA from 1 species